GACGAACGCUGGCGGCGCGCCUAACACAUGCAAGUCGAACGAGCGAGAGAGAGCUUGCUUUCUCGAGCGAGUGGCGAACGGGUGAGUAACGCGUGAGGAACCUGCCUCAAAGAGGGGGACAACAGUUGGAAACGACUGCUAAUACCGCAUAAGCCCACGGCUCGGCAUCGAGCAGGGGGAAAAGGAGCAAUCCGCUUUGAGAUGGCCUCGCGUCCGAUUAGCUAGUUGGUGGGGUAACGGCCCACCAAGGCGACGAUCGGUAGCCGGACUGAGAGGUUGAACGGACAAAUGGGGGAGGGCACAGGGCCCAGCCCCCGGCGGGGGGCGGCAGUGGGAAAGAGUGAACAAGGGGGAAAGCCGGAGGGCGCCGGCGCGGGGGGAAGGAAGAGGGUUUGCGAAUGGAAACCUCUGGUGGUGGGGAAAGAUAAGGGGGGAACAAAAAAAGGAAGAGAGGGCAAACAACG
rnacentral:rRNA from 1 species